GUAAAAAUGCAAGGAAUGGUUGCGUCCACUGCUUGCGGCAUAUGCCUCCAGGGGUUAUAUUGCUGUCGCUAUCGAUUCUCGUUAUCAUGGUGAAAGGGCCAGCAGCAAGACUACUUACAUAGACGCACUGAAAUCAUCUUGGAAGAAUGGGGACACUAUGCCUUUUAUUUUUGACACGGUACUGUA